rnacentral:lncRNA from 1 species
GACGAUAAACGCAUAUCAUCGUUUAUUUAAUGUUUAAGCUCUUGCACUAGAUUUUUACAAGCUGGUGAACACUGACAAAUUAUUUCUCCCACAGAACUAUAACCACUUGUUCCCGGACAGUAUAAAUAGAUGGUUGAGCUAACGUUAAUACACAUCACCAUUUUAUCAAUUACAUAAUAAAACAAAUUGUCAAGUAUCCAAAUAUUAAGUUACACAGCUCAAAAGGUAUAUAAAAUAUUAAACGUCUGCUCAAUUCAUUAGCAGAAACCCACUUUAUUUUGCAAGAGAGGCUGGGAAUCACACUUAAAACUAAGUCGGUAAACAACUUCAGGUAAGUAUGUGUAAGUUGCACCCCAAAGUGCAAACAUUAAAAUGAACUGUAAGG